rnacentral:rRNA from 1 species
GCGAAAACUUUACAAUGCUGGCAACAGCGAUAAGGGGACCUCGAGUGCCAGGUUACAAAUCUGGCUGUCGUGAUGCCUAAAAAGCAUUGCAUAGCAAGGGCCGGGCAAGACCGGUGCCAGCCGCCGCGGUAACACCGGCGGCCCGAGUGGUAACCGUUAUUAUUGGGUCUAAAGGGUCUGUAGCCGGCCAGAUAAGUCUCUUGGGAAAUCUGGCAGCUUAACUGUCAGGCUUUCAGGAGAUACUGUCUGGCUCGAGGCCGGGAGAGGUGAGAGGUACUUCAGGGGUAGGGGUGAAAUCUUGUAAUCCUUGAAGGACCACCAGUGGCGAAGGCGUCUCACCAGAACGGACCUGACGGCGAGGGACGAAAGCUAGGAGCACGAACC